AUUGAACGCUGGCGGCAGGCUUAACACAUGCAAGUCGAGCGGAAACGAUGAUAGCUUGCUAUCAGGCGUCGAGCGGCGGACGGGUGAGUAAUACUUAGGAAUCUACCUAGUAGUGGGGGAUAGCACGGGGAAACUCGUAUUAAUACCGCAUACGACCUACGGGAGAAAGGGGGCAGUUUACUGCUCUCGCUAUUAGAUGAGCCUAAGUCGGAUUAGCUAGAUGGUGGGGUAAAGGCCUACCAUGGCGACGAUCUGUAGCUGGUCUGAGAGGAUGAUCAGCCACACCGGGACUGAGACACGGCCCGGACUCCUACGGGAGGCAGCAGUGGGGAAUAUUGGACAAUGGGGGAAACCCUGAUCCAGCCAUGCCGCGUGUGUGAAGAAGGCCUUUUGGUUGUAAAGCACUUUAAGCAGUGAAGAAGACUCCGUGGUUAAUACCCACGGACGAUGACAUUAGCUGCAGAAUAAGCACCGGCUAACUCUGUGCCAGCAGCCGCGGUAAUACAGAGGGUGCAAGCGUUAAUCGGAAUUACUGGGCGUAAAGGGAGCGUAGGUGGCUCUAUAAGUCAGAUGUGAAAUCCCCGGGCUUAACCUGGGAACUGCAUCUGAAACUGUAGAGCUAGAGUAUGUGAGAGGAAGGUAGAAUUCCAGGUGUAGCGGUGAAAUGCGUAGAGAUCUGGAGGAAUACCGAUGGCGAAGGCAGCCUUCUGGCAUAAUACUGACACUGAGGCUCGAAAGCGUGGGUAGCAAACAGGAUUAGAUACCCUGGUAGUCCACGCCGUAAACGAUGUCUACUAGUCGUUGGGUCCCUUGAGGACUUAGUGACGCAGCUAACGCAAUAAGUAGACCGCCUGGGGAGUACGGCCGCAAGGUUAAAACUCAAAUGAAUUGACGGGGGCCCGCACAAGCGGUGGAGCAUGUGGUUUAAUUCGAUGCAACGCGAAGAACCUUACCUGGUCUUGACAUAUCUAGAAUCCUGCAGAGAUGCGGGAGUGCCUUCGGGAAUUAGAAUACAGGUGCUGCAUGGCUGUCGUCAGCUCGUGUCGUGAGAUGUUGGGUUAAGUCCCGCGACGAGCGCAACCCUUGUCCUUAGUUACCAGCGGGUUAAGCCGGGAACUCUAAGGAUACUGCCAGUGACAAACUGGAGGAAGGCGGGGACGACGUCAAGUCAUCAUGGCCCUUACGACCAGGGCUACACACGUGCUACAAUGGUAGGUACAGAGGGCAGCUACACAGCGAUGUGAUGCGAAUCUCAAAAAGCCUAUCGUAGUCCAGAUUGGAGUCUGCAACUCGACUCCAUGAAGUAGGAAUCGCUAGUAAUCGCGGAUCAGAAUGCCGCGGUGAAUACGUUCCCGGGCCU
rnacentral:rRNA from 1 species